rnacentral:rRNA from 1 species
CCUACGGGGGGCAGCAGCCGCGGUAAUACGUAGGGGGCAAGCGUUAUCCGGAUUUACUGGGUGUAAAGGGGGCGCAGACGGCGAUGCAAGCCAGGAGUGAAAGCCCGGGGCCCAACCCCGGGACUGCUCUUGGAACUGCGUGGCUGGAGUGCAGGAGGGGCAGGCGGAAUUCCUGGUGUAGCGGUGAAAUGCGUAGAUAUCAGGAGGAACACCGGUGGCGAAGGCGGCCUGCUGGACUGCAACUGACGUUGAGGCCCGAAAGCGUGGGGAGCAAACAGGAUUAGAUACCCCUGUAGUCCAGAUCG